rnacentral:tRNA from 1 species
AAGUAUAUUGUACAUUUAAUUUCCAAUUAAAAGGAACUGAUAUUAGUUUA